GGCGGACGGGUGAGUAAUGCUUGGGAACAUGCCUUGAGGUGGGGGACAACAGUUGGAAACGACUGCUAAUACCGCAUAAUGUCUACGGACCAAAGGGGGCUUCGGCUCUCGCCUUUAGAUUGGCCCAAGUGGGAUUAGCUAGUUGGUGAGGUAAUGGCUCACCAAGGCGACGAUCCCUAGCUGGUUUGAGAGGAUGAUCAGCCACACUGGGACUGAGACACGGCCCAGACUCCUACGGGAGGCAGCAGUGGGGAAUAUUGCACAAUGGGCGCAAGCCUGAUGCAGCCAUGCCGCGUGUGUGAAGAAGGCCUUCGGGUUGUAAAGCACUUUCAGUCAGGAGGAAAGGUUAGUAGUUAAUACCUGCUAGCUGUGACGUUACUGACAGAAGAAGCACCGGCUAACUCCGUGCCAGCAGCCGCGGUAAUACGGAGGGUGCGAGCGUUAAUCGGAAUUACUGGGCGUAAAGCGUACGCAGGCGGUUUGUUAAGCGAGAUGUGAAAGCCCCGGGCUCAACCUGGGAACUGCAUUUCGAACUGGCAAACUAGAGUGUGAUAGAGGGUGGUAGAAUUUCAGGUGUAGCGGUGAAAUGCGUAGAGAUCUGAAGGAAUACCGAUGGCGAAGGCAGCCACCUGGGGUCAACACUGACGCUCAUGUACGAAAGCGUGGGGAGCAAACGGGAUUAGAUACCCCGGUAGUCCACGCCGUAAACGAUGUCUACUAGAAGCUCGGAGCCUCGGGUUCUGUUUUUCAAAGCUAACGCAUUAAGUAGACCCGCCUGGGGAGUACGGCCGCAAAGGUUUAAAACUCAAAUGAUUU
rnacentral:rRNA from 1 species